rnacentral:rRNA from 1 species
GAUGAACGCUGGCGGCGUGCCUAAUCAAGGAAAGCGAGGGGACCGAAGGGGGACCUGGCUCCUCUGCGUUUACCGCGGGCGGGGGGAUAAACACGGGAAUAACCAACCUUUAGGACGGGGAAAACUUCGGAAACCCGGGGCAAAUACGGAUUAAUAUAUUAAACCGCAGGGUUAAAAAGGGAAAGAGGGUUUUGCGGUCACUUAUGAAUGGAUCCGCGCCGCAUUAGCUAGUUGGUAAGGUAACGGCUUACCAAGGCAACGAUGCGUAGCCGACCUGAGAGGGUGAUCGGCCACACUGGAACUGAGACACGGUCCAGACUCCUACGGGAGGCAGCAGUAGGGAAUCUUCCGCAAUGGGCGAAAGCUUGACGGAGCAACGCCGCGUGAGUGAUGAAGGUCUUCGGAUCGUAAAACUCUGUUAUUAGGGAAGAACAAAUGUGUAAGUAACUAUGCACGUCUUGACGGUACCUAAUCAGAAAGCCACGGCUAACUACGUG